CUGACAUGUGUGCGAGUCAACGGGUGAGUAAACCCGCAAGGCGCAAGGAAGCUGAUUGGCGGGAUCCCCCUCGUGGGGUGCACCGCCGACCGACCUUGAUCUUCUGAGAAGGGUUCGAGUGUGAGCAUGCCUGUCGG
rnacentral:ncRNA from 1 species